rnacentral:ncRNA from 2 species
AGCCCGUGGACGGUGUGAGGCC